CAGGCGGUCUUGACAGGGAAUAAUCACCAGUUUGAUGGUGUGAAGUUUCGAAAUUACCAAGACAUGGCACCAGCAAACAAUAUUACCCAUACAUGGUAAGAGGUAAGAAGCAUGAUGACACUGGACAAAAUUGCCCUUUCAUAAAAACAACACCCUUCGUCCCAAUCUUCCCCUUUUUCCUUGUAUCUAUUUUUUCUCUUUGCCAUUAUCCUGAGAUACACGACUCUUUCUGGGGUUUGGUCCGGUGUCUCACCAAAUUUCUUCCCCAAAUCUCAAAUUAACCAAGGGAUCUUGGAGCAUUCUUCUCCUAGAGUCGAGUUCUAGCCUUUGAUUGCGUUGGAAAGCUCAGAGGAGGUGUUUUCGGGAGAGGUUUUGCCUGGAGAUUCUUGGGGUUUUAAUUUCAACCUUCGAGUUCCUGUGGCAUCCAAGGCCACCAUCCUUCUUUAGCCCAGAGAAUGAGGAGGAGAUCGCCAAGAACUUGAAGAAGUACAACAAGAAGUAAGAAGCGGAGGACCAAGACGUGUCGCUGCUGUUGAGCGAGCAGGACCGUGAGAAGCGGAAGAUGUUGAAGGAAGAAUGGGAGAGAUGGGUUUUGGAGUGGAAGCGAUUACACGAAGAAGAGAAAUCAGACAGGCAGUGGCUUAGCAUGAAUCUCUUGCCUUUGUUAAAAGCACGUUGUAUUAUGGCUAUAGCAUGAAUGGGGUUUUGUUGUUGCAUUGUUGGUCAACCUGUUUUCUUUCAAAUAUUAACGGAUGAACAAGAAUAAGGGAUGUCUUCUCCAAUCAAGAGUUAAGGAGCCCAUGUUUUAUCUUUUUUACUUUCAGAAAA